rnacentral:lncRNA from 1 species
CCGUCAACCGUCUAGGGCUCUAUAUGUCGCUCUCCAGUCAGGUAGGUAAGCCCUCAAACUACAAACUGUUAUUUCUUUAUAUGAGACAUGCAUGGGCACGUUGAUUUCUUUGAGUGCAUUCCACUCCAUGCUUCCAGGUGUAUAAGGGGUUUUUAUACCCACCCUAUUCUUGAUAACUCCUUCGAGCUCCUAAGAGACCUCCUAUCAUCAUGUUUGGAGUUUUCUAAUUUCUUAGCACUGGCACACCUUCUCCGAGGUUGCCUCUCUCUUUACAUCUUCCAUUAUAUUCCCGUGAGUAUAUUCCGAAACCCGAUGCAUUCUUGGUAGUAUUUAGCCAGAUUUAUGAAGUUUCUUUGAAAUUUGAAAAGCAUCUCCUAGAAUAGUUAAAGAAUGAAGCCUUUAACUCUAUGAACCAGUCCAAGCUAUUAACAGAGCUUCAUGUUGCUCAGCAAGAACCACAUAAUGGAUUUUCUUCAGUUGACAAAAGGGAUAAGAAUGAUUUCACAAUGGCAGCUGAAUGAUUUCUAAAGGUGACUGUCCCAGCAUCUAAUCUUCUUUUGUAUCAGUCCCUUUACGCAAAGCGAAGGAUCUCAGACGUAAGACCGUGACUUAUUGUGAUUUAUGUAGAGGGGAAGAAAGAAUUGGAUCCAUUAAAUGUAGUAGUGAAUAAAUUCCUCAGAAUCUAACAAAUUAUGAGAAAGCAUGUUUCUGUGUUUGCAGUGAUAAAAAGAUGCGAGAGCUUAUGCAUAUGAUGCAAAACCAUCUGAGAUGUCCUUUGUCUAAGCAUGCAAAGAAGGCAUUACAGCUUCCUGCUUUAGCACCUUCAUGUGGUUUAAUUCACAAAAUUCUGC